CGAUCAUAGUUUUGUCAGUUAAAUUUUGAUCGACGAAUAAAAAUUAAUUGACUGCACUCGGAGAAGUUCUUAGGGAUAUAUUUUUGGACAGGAGUUCGAAUCUCCUCAUCUCCACCA
rnacentral:tmRNA from 1 species